rnacentral:rRNA from 1 species
CCUACGGGUGGCUGCAGUGAGGAAUAUUGGUCAAUGGACGAGAGUCUGAACCAGCCAAGUAGCGUGAAGGAUGACUGCCCUAUGGGUUGUAAACUUCUUUUAUAUGGGAAUAAAAUGUUCCACGUGUGGGAUUUUGUAUGUACCAUAUGAAUAAGGAUCGGCUAACUCCGUGCCAGCAGCCGCGGUAAUACGGAGGAUCCGAGCGUUAUCCGGAUUUAUUGGGUUUAAAGGGAGCGUAGGUUGAGUGUUAAGUCAGUUGUGAAAGUUUGCGGCUCAACCGUAAAAUUGCAGUUGAAACUGGCAGUCUUGAGUACAGUAGAGGUGGGCGGAAUUCGUGGUGUAGCGGUGAAAUGCUUAGAUAUCACGAAGAACUCCGAUUGCGAAGGCAGUUCACUGGACUGCAACUGACACUGAGGCUCGAAAGUGUGGGUAUCAAACAGGAUUAGAUACCCUAGUAGUC